AGAGGGGGAAGGUUUUAACCGGGUAAUCUGAAAUCCUAACGCGUUUCGCGCAAGAGGAUGAAACGCAGUGUAACCAAUAGGUGUACUUAACCGUAUUUCGUACCGAGAGGGGGAAUGUUUUAACCGAGUAAUUUAAAAUCCUAGCGCGUUUCACUCAAGAGGAAGAAAGGUGGUGUAACCAACAGGGAUACCUAACCAUAUUUGAUAUGGAGAGGGAAAAGGUUUUAACCGCGUAAACUGAAAUCCUAACGCAUUUCACGCGAGAGGAGGAAAGAUGAUGUGACCAACAGGUGUACUUAACCGUAUUUUAUAUGGAGAGGGGGAAAGUUUUAACCGAAUCUGAAAUCAGAGUUGAAACACCAAAGCAUACAUUCUAAAUGCCAUUUUCGAGUUUCUAAGUACAGAGACGAGUUGGGUGUGCCCUUUGAUCAUCAUCGGAUGAAAAUAAAACACUUCGGCUCAUCACAUGAAUCUAUCCGUACAAACACAAGAGUGGCCUAGCCAAUUUUUGAAAUUCUUGUACAAAAUCAGAGCAAUGCGACCAAAUUAUGGCUGAUCCAGACAAAAAAUGACCCGUUCGGCCAAAACAUCUGCCGGCCGGCCGGCCAACAAAAAAUCCUAACGGCAGAAAACUUAGCUGGUCGGCCAAAAAAAGUGCCGGUUGGCCAAUUUGUUCAAGCACGGGCAGAAAAAACGGGUUUAAGAUCCAAUUGGUUUAAAGACACAUCUAAGGCUCAUUUUCCUCACACACACACACGUACGAAAACAACUCCCCUCCUUCCAAAGCUCUCUCUCUCUCUAGAUUCUCUCUUCAUUUCCUAUUGCCCAAAUCUACAUCGACCCAAAUCCGAGACAAUCACUGCCCCCUCUUCGAUUUGAACCGAUUGGAUUUCAAAAACGAAAGAUUUUCUAAUUCCUCUUUUGAUUCUUGUGAAUUUCUACAUAGCUUUGAACAAAUUUCUUUAGAUUUUGAUGUUUGCACGAAUUGGGUGAAAUUUCUUCAAUUUCCAAUUGUAUACUCAUGGUUUGGACACCUACACCACAAUCUUGGACUGAUUUUGGGGAUUUCUCAUUGCUUUCUAAAUUUCUUGCUCACACUACUAGAAAUAUGUGUUUUUGUGUCUAUUUUUUUGCGAUGGAUUGUUUGACCGUCGCAAAAAAAAACUUUUUGUAUCGAAAAUCUCGUUUUACUUAAACCCCCAAUGGCGUUCUUGACUAAAAUAAAUAAAUAAACAAUAAAACCCCCCAAAACCUUGCCCUCUCUCUCUCUCUCCCUCUCUCUCGUGCGCGCGCGCGCGCGUGCACGCUCGCCUGACUCUCUCUUUCGACUUUCCACUCUCAAAAUCGUGUUCGUUUGAAGAUUUUGAUCAAUUGUUGUUGAAGAUUUGAAGAUUUUGAUCAAUUGUUGAUGAAGAUUUCAAUCGAUUCAUAAUUGGUAAGCCAAAUUUCUAUGAAUUAAUCCUCUCUCCCUCCCUACCUCCCUACCUCCCCUCCGCUGCGCCUCCUCUUCGUCACAGGCGCUUUUCUUUCUCUUUCUUGCUCGAGCAGACUAUAGAGACCUCAAAAUUUUCAAUUCUAGGGUUUAGUACAGUAUUUAUUCUUGAGAUUUCUAUCAUUCUCAUCUCUCUCUAUCACUUCAGAUUAAGCAUUGAUUGAAUUCUAGGGUUUUCAAUUGACGAUUUUGGAUUGCUCAUGAGAAAAGGGUGAAUCAAGUAGUAAUAUUAGUAAUAGUAGAUGCAAAUGCUAAUGAAGCUCUCUCUCUCUCUCUCUCUAUAUAUAUAUAUAUAUAUAUGUACAUAUAUAUCGAUUAGUUCACUUCUGAUAAAGCUCUGAUGCAUUGCAUUUUGAAUUUGGUUUUGAGUCGCAUGAAGUUCAAUGUGACUCAUGUAACUUUGUUUUCUAAAUUGAUUCAAACAUUCUAAUUUGUUAUAUUUUCUGUUAAAGACGCUUUGUGAUUGAUAGUUUGAUUUGAAUUUCAGGUGCGUUGUUUUUGUUUUUGUAUUGCUGUUUGUUAUCUGCUCCAUUAGACGUAGUUGAUUUCUAUAUUGCUCGGUUUAAUUUUGAUUUCAAGCUCUCUCUGCAGUUUUCAAUUUCAAUUUAGUUUGAUGAAGCUCAGAAGUGAUUUAGAUCUUGAAUUAAAAGAUACUCUGGUAAUGCAUCUAUACAAGCCCUUUUAUAUCUUUUAGUUUUUUCUCUCUCUCUCUUCCCUUCCUUUGAAUGCUGCCACAUCUGUAAUCUCCUUGUAAAUUAAACACUUCCAUCAAUGAACAAAACUCUAAGGUGUGUCAUGAGCUCAAUAAUUUGAAGCAUAAAUGCUUCAAUUUAAAGAAAGCAAAAAGAAGCUUUAUAUCUAUAUCAAUUUUGCUUUGAUAAUGCAAGUGGUAGCUUUGCAUUGUUCUCCCUACUCUGUCGACAUGCAAGACUUAGCAUUUUGCCCAAUCAAUAAGACACAGAUGAGACGCUGUCUUCAUAUGCUAUAGAAAGAUCAGCCGAAACAUGGAAUUGUUCUAUUAUGAGGUCAUUCUUCGAGUAGCAUCUCAAGGGUCUAUUGAUUUUUGUUUUGCUUGGAACGUCUAUGGCAAUUGGUGAUGGUAUACUCACUCCUGCUAAAUCAGGUAGCUGAUAUUCAUAUUGCAGUGCUUUCUUCUUUCUCGUUUUAAACCUUGAUAUCAGUAAUGGUAUAAAAUUCUAAAUUCAAUCAUUCAAUUCAGCCAAUCACCAAAAAAGAUAAAUAAAUAAAUAAAUCUCUAGCCUAGUGGUUGGCUGGAUUUUAACAAUGGAUUUCAAUUUGAGUUAUAUAAUUAUUUAUUUACUAACAUAAAAAUCAUAUGCGUUGUUUAGCAAAUGACAUGUCCAAACCUAUACUUGGAUGAAUACUGCUCCUUAACACAUACCUUCAGCAGAGCUCUAUUUUGUAUAGCUAUAUGUAAUACAUGUAUUUCAAAUCUACUUCUAUCAUUCUUUUACAUUCAUCACUCGUGGAAAGGAGAAAAUGUGAUUUUUCUUUUCUUUUCUUUAUUUUUCCCUCAACAAUAACAUGGAAAAGUAAUGGUUGGCCAUUGUUGAAUUUGAGUUGGCUUUAGAUUUAAUAGGAUAAGUUCUCCAUUUGGACUUAUGAAGUUGAAAAUCUCUCAAUAUUCUCUUGAAGUAGGUUGUCUGCCUAUGUUCUUAUUGAUGAUUUUGCUCAUAGAGAUAAUAACGUAAUUUAAAUUUACUCUUUGGCAUGGACCAACUGAAUUUGUGACAAGGGGUAAGCAUAUUCAUGAUGUAACAAAAAUUAUGGGGGUAAAGUAAAGAAUCUUAACCAAAGAUUGUGUUACUGGAAUUAUUUUUUAGUGUGCAAGAGUGAAAAUGACAGUUCUUCUGUCUGUUUACAUGCCUAACAGUUGUGCUUUAUAUGAGUUCUAUGAUGGAAAUUUUUCUCUCUUUUUCCCCUGAAUUCUAAAUGAUGAAACACAAAUUCCAAGUCAAAACGGAUAUGUGAAGGAUUUUUCAAUUCCAUGUACAGGGACUUCUCUAUCUGUUCUAUUUUUAGAAAGGUUGUAUUUUCAGGAUUACGGUUCCAUUAUUUUAAGAGAUUUGCAUGUUUCCUUUUUUUUUUUUUUAGUUCUUUUAGCAAUUUCAGGUGUUAAACUUAAAUUCACAGGACUUCAUGAGAGUAAGUUUAGUUCUUUGUUACCUUUAUGUUAUGUUUGGAUCUUGGAUGUGCAGGAAAAGGGGAAGAAGAAAAAAAAAAGCCUCUACUUCAUUUAAUUUUCUCUUACCUUUUCUUUUCUCUCCACAAAUCUAAGAUCCAAACACAACCUUAAAUAUAACAUUAUCACGUGGAAUCCGCGUAGAUUUCAUGCACUUUUUCCAGUUUACAUGUUAAAGUUCCUCAGAAGCACUGGUAUUAAAGGUUGGGUGUCCCUAGGGGGCGUGUUUCUCUCAAUCACAGGUAUCGUUUUUAGUGCUUCUGAUAUAAUUUAGUUGUAUACUUAAUGAAUAAGGCUACUGGAAACUUGUUUUCUUCAUAUUAUUUACCAAAUGCUGGUUGUUUCAUGAAGUGUGUUUCAAAAACACUAGGCUGAAUAGUGCUUGGUUUGUUAAUUUGUUUCGAAAGACUUGGGUUUGGUUAAAAAAGAAAAAGAAACUCAAUUAUAUUGCUCAUCUUUUCCUAUUGUUUGCUCCAACAUUUCUUUAUCUGAAUUAUGAAUCUUCGAAGAGCAAUAUGUGAAUUUCCAUAUUCUAGAAGCCAUAUGUGUGUUAGAUAUCAAUUUUAACAAGUUAAACCUAGGGCAGAGUAGUGAUUAUAUAUACUUUUUUUUCCGUUCUUUUUCCCUUCCUUUCUCACUGAUCAUUAAUCUCAAAAUUUGGUUUCAAUGGCCACAAGAUACGAGGUCCUGAAAGUUGCUAGCAAACCAAAAUACUGGACAUUGGAAUCUGAUUGAAUGGUACAAUAUAAUGCUUCAAUCACCCAUUCUAUUGUUAAUGGCUACUAACCUAGGAAUACAUAUAUUACAUAUAUAUAUAUAUAUAUAUUUCCACAAAUUACUAUGAUGAUGAUUGGAUUGUAGAUGAACAACAUGAAUAUGUAGAAGUAACUUCAAAGUAUAAUGUAAUAUCAAGGAAAUGGGAAAUCUAUGCUUUGUAACCAUUUUGAUGUAUACGAUUUUUUCUUGAUUAUUGUAAAACUAAAAAAAAUUAAAGGCACCUCAUUUAGUAUAUGUUUUGAUUUUUCUUUUUGCAUUAAUUACUACAGACUGAAAAGUGGAAUGAGCAACAGGAGAAUGGGAUUUUCGUAGGGCCUCUUUAAUUGAACAUCUUCACUUGGCAUGGAGUUUUUCAGAUAGUAUUUUUUUGCUUUGUUUGAAGCUAGUUAUUUGGUUUUAUUUGAAACUUAAUGGAUUAAUAAGGCUCCCGAGACUCUUCUUGAACAUUGACACUUGAUUAUUGUUUGUGAGCAAGUUACUUAAGAGCUUGGAAGGGGUAUGGUGUGUUUCUUCUUCUUUUUUUUUUUUCUUUGUUAUUUUUAUUUAUUUAUUUUUUCAUUUUCAAUGUUUUUUAUGUUGCCAAGUCCCAUUUCACCUCUUGAACGUUACAUUGUUAUGUUUCUUGUUGAUGCUUAAUGGAUAGUGUUUUGGCCAUAGCUAUUCCCAGAUUUUUAAUGUUAUACUGUAUUUUUUUUUUGGAAAAUGAGUUGGACCCCCUCAAGAAGGCACCCCCUUUGACCCCCUCUCUCUCUGAUUGGCCAGUUUUUCUUUUUUUCCUUAUUCUCCAAUCACCACCCGCCACGUGUGUGUGGGGUGGUGGGGGUGGUGAUUGGAGGGGGUCUUAAUCACUUCCCUUUUUUUUUUUUUGGUGCGAUGGUAAUAGGAUGGUCGCUAAUACAUUGUAGGCAUUUUUAAAACUUUUUUGUGAUGGCAAACAUCAGUCGCCAUAAGUAGGUUAGGCGGUCGCAAAUAGUUUGCGAUUGUUGUUUUACGGUCGCAAAAAGUAUUUAUCACCCCAACAUUGGCGACCUCUAUUUGCCGUUGCAUGACCUAUCGCAAAAGAUCUUUUUGCAGCUAUAUUUUUAUUAUUUGUGAUGGCUUAUAGCGGUUACAAAAAGUGGUUUUAGUAGUGUCAAUUGACCAUGGAUUUGAACAAUAGCAUCUUUGAAUUGUUUGAAUUUUGGAUGAUUACUCAUUGUUUGAACAUUGAUUCCAUACAAUGACUCAUUGUUCUUUACAAUUUUCCUUGAGUGCUUGAUCAAUUGCCCAUGAAUUGCCCAUGUCUUUGGAUUAUUCACAAUUUUGCCACAUGCCCCAUUGAUUGAAUUUCAACUUGAACCAUGAAUUUCAACUUGAUUUGGGUAUUGAAUAAAAUUUCCAUGACUGAACACAAAUUCCCUUAAUUCAACCUUGAAUUUACAUUGUUGUUUUUUUUUUUUUUUUACACGCCUCAGUUUAACAUUGUUUAAAUUAAAUCUCUUGAGAUUUUCUUCAAUUUACCACUGAUUUUGCAUUUUUCUUCCAAAAUUUUAACAAUGUUAGAACAUUUCAAUCACUAUUCCAAAUUUUCCCUUUUGACUGAUGUUUUGAUUGCUAUAACUUGGGUUGGGAUUUCUCAUACUCUUUCUUUGAUUCCACAGAUUGUCAUGGCUAGUGACGAUGCUCUGCACGAUAUUGUACCACUUACUAUCGUCACUGAAGGUGACCUACCAUCACCUGUGCCUAGAGAUGAUAUUCCUGCACUUGUCACAGAUGUUGAGGGACACGAUGAGGAUAUCAUGGCCGAGGAUGUUAAUGCAGCACCAGAACUAGUCCCUUUGAGGAUAAGGCCAUUUGAUCAUGUGGCUUACAAACCCCGUACAUAUACGAUGGUUCGGGGGGAAUGCUACGCUUUAUUAAGUUCUCUCGGCAGGUCGCAGAGGACAUGUUGCUCCGGGAGUGCUCGAGGCACCUCUUCUAUGAGUCCUCCACGAUAUUCCUUCUUUCUUUUCUUUUUUUGUUUAGCGUAUCAAUGCUUUAAACACAUUUGAUAGCUUCAAUCUCUGUGUGCUAACAAUUAUCUUGUCACAGGUCAACGGCAGGCGGAUGAGUGGAUAUAGGAGCGUCCAUGGCGCUCGCUAGUGGUACAGAGACCCCCACUGAGGUUCGUACCUUGGUGGACAGAGCCAAAAAUUAGGCACAUUCUACCUGGGCAUCACAUCAUUGCAAGUGGAUCGGUCGAUUUUUAGCGCCUUGGUAGAGAGGUGGUGGGACACCACAAACUCCUUCCACUUCUCGUCUGCCAAGGAGAUGACGGUGACCUCCUAUGACUUCUCUAUGGUCACUGGUAUCUCGGUGGGCGGUGAUCUAAUCCCGUUUAAUCUUUGACUUGAGCCAGUGGCCGGCUGCUCAGAUGUUCCUUCUUGGGGCUGUCUCGUCCCUCACUCGCCAUGGAAUGAUCAGGUGCAACUGGCUCUUGCAGCACUUCCACGGGUUAGAGCUAGUGACUCUAGUGGAGGUUGCCCAGUAUGCCUGUGGGUUUCUUCUUUAUGUCAUCGGUACUACCCUAUUUGCGAACAGGGAUAAUACCAUAGGACUUUAUCUACUAAGCAACAUGGUGGAGCUCGAGCGGGUGAGGGAGGAUGACUAGGGUGGAAUUAGCCUUGCCACCCUCAAUGGGUACAUGAGCUACGUGUCUCGCUGAAGGACGAAGCUACUUAGAGGCUAUUAAAGAGCAUGUGAGAUUUGAGAUACCCCUGGCAGUGCCUCGCUUCCUGUACUAUGAUGGGAGGCUUUGCCCUCGUUGUCGGCACAUCCGUAGCUUCAUCGCCUUUCGUCGCUUCUUCGAUACAGUGAUUGCUGACAUGAUUGAGUGGCACCCUUGGACGCCAAUGCCCACCAUAAUGAGGGAGAGAUAUGUUGCUACCCGGGAGACUUCCUAGAUGAGGGUGCUGCUGGAGGGCCCCUUUUGCAGAGUCUGGUACUUGAGAGAGCGAUUCACCCGCCAGACUUUGGGCCAUGUUGACCCUCGCAUUUCGUCUUCUCUUUCUUCGCUCAUGAGGACUAUUGAUGAUAUCACUAACGAGGCCCUCAUUGAUGAUAUGAUGUUGGGGUAGCUGUUGAUGCCUUCUAUAUCCCCGGAAACUAUACCACAUUCUUGCGGUCUCACAUCAUGCCACCUCUAACUAAGAGGGGGGCUCAUGCCAUCGGAGUUGCUAAUGCCCAUGCCACUGGUCAUGAUGCUCUCGCUGGUGCUGCUCUUGCCACUAGAGGUCUCGCACCUCCUGCUAGUGAUGUUGCCUUUUCUCUCGGACAUCCGACACUUCCCACAGCGGUUAUAUUUCAGACCUCGAAUGGCGUUCUGGAUGAGCUACCUUUGGAGUUCCUUACUCCUGAGAUUCAACCGGUUCACCCUUUUCCUUGCUACUUUCUCAUUUAUUUCUCAUUAUUUUAUUUCAGUACUAAUCUCUCUUUUGACUGCAGUACCCAGAGAUGGGUUACACUAGUCAGUGCUUAGAGCUCAUCGACACACUGAUGGUCAUGGUGCGGAGGAGGGAGGCAUCUCUGAUCUCUGUUGGGAUUGGGAUAGCAUUUUCUUUACUCAUUUCAUCCCUUAUGCAGUUCUUUCUAUUUCAUUCACUUUUGAUAUACUACUUAUUUUAUGCCACAUGUUAUGAUAUUAUGAUCUUUAUCUUUUUUAGAUACCCUUUUCUCCAGCCAUGGGGAGGAAAGGAUGGAGAGCUCCAGGAUAAGAAAGAGGAGGUCGGGUUGAGUGAGGUUAUGGUAUAGAUGGCCAGGGUAGGAGAAGGAGGAGAGCAUCCUCUGAGGUUCCCAAGCUAGAGCUAAAGGCAUUUGAGGAGCACUUCGAGGAGGACAAUAGAGAGAGCAUCGAGGAGAGUGAUAGUGGCGGAGAUGCUGGUGCUGACCCCGAGGUUUCUGAGAGUAG